CCUCCGGGACCUGCUGUGGGCAGAUGAAGUGGACGUGGCAGUCGAUCGCCCCGGCCGUCAUGAUCUUCCCGUUGCCCGAGAUGAUCUCCGUGCCCGGACCGAUCACGAGCUCUGGGUGGACGCCGUCCAUCGUGUCCGGGUUGCCGGCCUUGCCGAGCGCGACGAUCCGGCCGUCGCGGACGCCGACGUCGGCCUUCACGACACCCCAGUGGUCCAGCACGAUGACGCCGGUGAUCACCAGGUCGGGGGCGCCUUCGGCCCGGGUGGCCCUGGCCUGGCCCAUCGACUCGCGGAUG
rnacentral:sRNA from 1 species